ACAACGGAAAAAUCUCGGCUGUGCUAUAUGAAGAUUGGCGACAGGAAAGGACGACUGGUGAUCUCGAGAGCUUUUGAUCAAAUACAAGUUUUUGUUCAAAUGCUCGGGGGCUACUUUAUAAAGGUAUAUCAAGAAGAUUGAUGGACAUGAUUCAGAAGGGGACGAUUCAACAAUAUUGCGACAGACACAAAUUGGAGCCUACAGCCAAGUAUAAAUCCUCGACUGUAGCCUCGGGGGCUACUCCCAUCGGGAGCGCUGUUCGCGCUCCCGAUAAAUAUGGACAAUAUAGUGGGGCAGAUGCUAAAAAGGUGAGCCUACAACCAAACACAAGUGUUUGGCUGUAGCCUCGGGGGCUACUCCCAUCGGGAACGCUGUUCGCGUGCCCGAUGAAAUUUAGUAAGUACUAGGGAGCAUAUUUCGAGUCGUUAAAAUAACUCUUCAUAUACUCCCAUCGGGAGGAUAAGUUAAAAACAAUAUAAGUCAUCUGUUGACUCGAACAAAUGUGCUAUUCCAGCAGCCGAAAAAGCACCCGACAAUAUAUUCUCAGAGCACCUCAGUCGUGAAAUAAUCUCUGAAUGCCGCAAAACUCUGCGAAGGUAAGUCCCCGGGAUCCAUCCUGUGCGGCGUGGCACUGCCUCUGACGGCACUUUGCUACUUUUUCCGUAUCAACAGAUACGAAGAAAAAUCCUAACGGACGCGUUAGGUACCCGAUAAAACAUGACUGGGAUUCGACAUCCGGUAAGACCUUAAGCGGCACAAGUCAAAUUUCACCAGUAUCCCGAGAUCAUGUCCAGGGACGUGAUUUUGAAGUAGGUUUUGGUGGAUUGCCACGAGAGCAGUUAACUGGUACCUGAUCCGUCAGAUGAACCAGCCCCAAUUACCAUUAUCCCUGUACAAUAUAUAAAUACCUUUAUAAAUAUAAUUUGUCGAGUUAAAGAAAUCAUGUGCAGAUUGUAGAAAGGGAGAUUUUCCUUGAUUCUGCGAUUCAAGCAAAAUCUCGGGGGCUACUGACAUAGGCAUCCCCAAUGGGCCUGCCGAAGAAGGUACCCGGGGUUUAUUGAAGGCCCAUGACCCAAAGUUUUACAAAGCCCGGAAGCCCAAUCGAGAUAUAGUUUGGAAAGAUAGAAUUGUAUUAGGAAUAUCGAUUUGCAAUUAUCACGGGACGGGUCAGAAUCCCUCCCGGACUCUGUAAACUUGUGUAUUACGAAACCCUCGACUCCGCCUCCUAUAUAAGGGGGAGUCGAGGGACAAAGAAAGGAUCGAUUCAUUGUUUCACGCAACCCUAGUUUUUAUAGCAGUCGAGUACUUUUCCGGCUGAAACCUUCGAGAUCUACUUGCCCUCUACUUCCGACUAAACCCUAGUCUACAACCCGUAGGCAUUGAUAAGUUAAUCCCUUAUCACUAGUGGAUUAAUUAUUAGGAUUAUAAUUAAUUGGCCAAUUAGUAUUCACGUACGUAUGCUAUAGUUUAUUAUUGUGCUAGAGCUAAUUUGGGUCAGUAUCCUACAUACACGCACAUGAGUACAUGACUCGGUCAGACCCGUACACGUACGAGUCCAACACAACCCAGCGCCUCACAUCUCUCUCACUCUCGUUCCUAUCUCUUUCUCCACCACGAGCACGCACGCGACCAGGACGCACUCCUCGCACGCGCCUGUGAUGGCGCUGCCGCCACCCGCUGCUCCGGCCGUCGCCGGCCAGGUCCGGCACCGCCGCUCUCCAAUUCGACUUCGCCUCCAUCUCUUCUCCUAUUUCCCCACCGUCUCGACGUUCGGCCGUGCUCCACGCACGACCCCUGCGAACCCUAGCCCGCCUUGGCCGCUGCCGGCCUACUCCGGCACCGGCAAGACAUUUUUCUGGCUCCCUCGACGUCCUCUACCUCUCUGUCCCGUUCGAUUUGAUUUUCCAGCUCUACCUCGUCCGCCCCCAAACCUGGAAACCCUAGCGGUCGCUGGUUGGUUUGGCCGUCGCCGGCCAACCCCUGCGCCGCCGCUGGUCGCUGCUACUGUCCGGUGAGGCUUCGCCCUCACCCGCCGCCUCGAUGCCGCCCUACGUGCGCGUGCCGCCCUGCUCCUGCUCACGCCCAGCGCUCCCUGGUGUGGCUCCGCCGCCAUCUUCUCCCGGCCAUUGAUGGCCUCCUUCGGCGCCGCUGCUGUUUGACCGGCGGGGCUCCACCAUAUACGCGCCGCCACCAUGCCUCCAAGCGCCUCCACGCGCGCUCGGCCAAACCCUAGGUUCGCCAGUGUGAUGCUGCAAGCCGCUGCUGCUCCCCAUUGGCGACCCCGCCUCCUCGUCGACCAUGAGCCCCAGCUCAAGCUCGCCAUCUCGGUGGUGUCUGGUGGUUUGGUGUGCUGUUCAUGGCGCUGUGUCGUGCUGUUGCGACUACUUCAUCCUCGACGCCGGCUGGACGGUGCCGCGAACGCAACCCCGGCUGGACGGUGCCAUGGACGCAACCCCGGCGUCGCCUACCUCGCCACUUCCUGUACACUGAAAAGAAUCAGAAGAUUGGGAGAGAUUUGGAGGAUGAAGACUUAGUUUAGGAUUUCCUCUUUAUUACUUUUGUAAUCUUCUAUUUCUUUUGGAGCUUUUAAAUGAUUGAAUUAUGAUAAUUGUAAUAAGGUUUAAUUAUGUAUCUAUUUUGAAUUAUCAAAUGUGUGAACUUUUACA